UGCUACAAUCUAGCUCCAUGGCCUCAAAGC
rnacentral:piRNA from 1 species